rnacentral:rRNA from 1 species
GUAGUCCACGCCCUAAACGAUGUCGACUAGUCGUUCGGAGAGGUAACUUUCUGAGUGACGCAGCUAACGCGUGAAGUCGACCGCCUGGGGAGUACGGCCGCAAGGUUAAAACUCAAAGGAAUUGACGGGGACCCGCACAAGCGGUGGAUGAUGUGGAUUAAUUCGAUGCAACGCGAAAAACCUUACCUACCCUUGACAUGCCUGGAACCUGCGAGAGAUCGCGGGGUGCCUUCGGGAGCCAGGACACAGGUGCUGCAUGGCUGUCGUCAGCUCGUGUCGUGAGAUGUUGGGUUAAGUCCCGCAACGAGCGCAACCCUUGUCGUUAAUUGCCAUCAUUUGGUUGGGCACUUUAACGAGACUGCCGGUGACAAACCGGA